AACGAACGCUGGCGGCAUGCCUAACACAUGCAAGUCGAACGAGAUCUUCGGGUCUAGUGGCGCACGGGUGCGUAACGCGUGGGAAUCUGCCCUUUGGUUCGGAAUAACAGUUGGAAACGACUGCUAAUACCGGAUGAUGACGAAAGUCCAAAGAUUUAUCGCCAGAGGAUGAGCCCGCGUAGGAUUAGCUAGUUGGUGUGGUAAAGGCGCACAAAGGCGACGAUCCUUAGCUGGUCUGAGGGGAUGAUCAGCCACACUGGGACUGAGCCACGGCCCAGACUCCUACGGGAGGCAGCAGUGGGGAAUAUUGGACAAUGGGCGAAAGCCUGCUCCAGCAAUGCCGCGUGAGUGAUGAAGGCCUUAGGGUUGUAAAGCUCUUUUACCCGGGAUGAUAAUGACAGUACCGGGAGAAUAAGCUCCGGCUAACUCCGUGCCAGCCGCCGCCGUAA
rnacentral:rRNA from 1 species